rnacentral:rRNA from 1 species
ACUCCUACGGGAGGCAGCAGUGGGGAACUUUGGACAAUGGGGGAAACCCUGAUCCAGCCAUGCCGCGUGAGUGAAGAAGGCCUUCGGGUUGUAAAGCUCUUUCAGCCGGAACGAAACGGUCACGGCUAAUACCUGUGACCACUGACGGUACCGGAAGAAGAAGCACCGGCUAACUACGUGCCAGCAGCCGCGGUAAU